CCCUUAGAUGUUCUGGGCCGCACGCGCGCUACACUGUUCGACGCAGCGAGUCUUAACCUUGACCGAAAGGUUUGGGUAAUCUUCAGCAAAGUCGAACGUGAUGGGGAUCGAUCAUUGCAAUUAAUGAUCGUGAACGAGGAAUUCCUAGUAAGUGCAAGUCAUCAGCUUGCGCUGAUUACGUCCCUGCCCUUUGUACACACCGCCCGUCGCUACUACCGAUUGAAUGGUUUAGUGAGAUCUCUGGAUUGACGCUGGCUAGGGGGCGACCCUUGGCCAGACUGUUGAGAAACUGCUCAAACUUGAUCAUUUAGAGGAAGUAAAAGUCGUAACA
rnacentral:rRNA from 1 species